GCUGGCGUAGCUCAAAGGAAGAGCGCGAGGUUGUGGCCCUCGAGACAGCGGAUCGUUACCGCUCGCCAGUU
rnacentral:tRNA from 1 species